CCUACGGGGGGCAGCAGUGGGGAAUAUUGGACAAUGGGGGGAACCCUGAUCCAGCCAUGCCGCGUGUGUGAAGAAGGCCCUCGGGUUGUAAAGCACUUUCAGUGAGGAAGAACGCCUGGUGGUUAAUACCCAUCAGGAAAGACAUCACUCACAGAAGAAGCACCGGCUAACUCCGUGCCAGCAGCCGCGGUAAUACGGAGGGUGCGAGCGUUAAUCGGAAUUACUGGGCGUAAAGCGCGCGUAGGUGGCUUGAUAAGCCGGUUGUGAAAGCCCCGGGCUCAACCUGGGAACGGCAUCCGGAACUGUCAAGCUAGAGUGCAGGAGAGGAAGGUAAAAUUCCCGGUGUAGCGGUGAAAUGCGUAGAGAUCGGGAGGAAUACCAGUGGCGAAGGCGGCCUUCUGGACUGACACUGACACUGAGGUGCGAAAGCGUGGGUAGCAAACAGGAUUAGAUACCCCAGUAGUC
rnacentral:rRNA from 1 species